rnacentral:rRNA from 1 species
CCUACGGGAGGCAGCAGUAGGGAGUCUUCGGCAAUGGACGAAAGUCUGACCGAGCAACGCCGCGUGAGUGAAGAAGGUUUUCGGAUCGUAAAACUCUGUUGGUAGAGAAGAACGUUGGUGAGAGUGGAAAGCUCAUCAAGUGACGGUAACUACCCAGAAAGGGACGGCUAACUACGUGCCAGCAGCCGCGGUAAUA